rnacentral:misc_RNA from 1 species
UUUUUGAAUUAUUUGCGGCUCGUGUCAAACAUAACGCAAGUGCGCGAUAUAUAUUUGCGCCUCGUGUCAUAUUAUUCUUUUGACGUUUGUGAUAUGUUUUAGCUCGCUGCUGGCCAUUAGUCACGCGUGCGGCGUUGUGGCGCGAAAAUCGCGUUCUCAAAGGGUGAAAACAUGCGAGUUGGUGCGGUGUAGACGGAGGGGUGGAAAACCUGGCAAACUCGUCUCCGCAGUUGAGCGGGAGAGUAAGUAGUAUAGGGCAUCAUACAUUAUUAGGCAACGGUUGUAAUGGUAGUCAGAAUGUACAAUCGUGUCAGUAGCGGAGCUGGGAGUCGCAUUGAUAAGGGACGAAGGCGGGGGUAACAUGUU